CUGAUACAGGAAGAGGGACGAAACUUAAAGGAAGUGAAGUCUCAGACUGAGUCAAACUGGAAGAAAUGGCACGGUAAUUCCCAGGGAUCGCUGGCGUGCAUGGUGGGCAGAAGUGCGGAUGAAAGUUGGAGCGAGGAAGCUCCUGGGGCCACCUCUCCACUUUCUGUUUCCAUGAAUAUGAUCGUUCUGGGAAGCUUGGAUACCUCGAGAUUUUGGACGUUACCUCAUUUCUCCCUGGAAUCACUGUUUCUGUUCUAGAAAGAUG
rnacentral:lncRNA from 1 species